GGGCCUACCCACAGACCGACUGACUAUUCGUGGAGAGGCAGGGAGACAGUAUAUGUAAGAGUAAUUUGGAGUUGGUGUCAGGUCUAGUCAGCUUAAUUAGUGGCUGAGUAAAUUGAAAUACUCCUACAUUC